rnacentral:rRNA from 1 species
AUGCAAGUCAAGGAGAACGUUUUCUUCGGAAAGCAAGUAAACUGGCGAACGGGUUAGUAACGCGUAGGUAACCUGCCCUUAUGACUGGGAUAACUCCGUGAAAAUGGGGCUAAUACCGGAUAAUAUCUAUUUUCUUUGGAAUUUAGAUCAAAGUAGGCUUCGGCUUACACAUAUGGAUGGGCCUGCGUCUGAUCAGCUAGUUGGUAAGGUAAGAGCUUACCAAGGCAACGAUCAGUAGGUGGUUCGAGAGGAUGAUCACCAACACUGGGACUGAGAUACGGCCCAGACUCCUACGGGAGGCAGCAGUGAGGAAUUUUGCGCAAUGGGCGAAAGCUUGACGCAGCAACGCCGCGUGAUUGAAGAAGGUCUUAGGAUUGUAAAAAUCUGUCAUAGGGGAAGAAUGGUAUUUAUUCUAACAAAAUAUUUGUUUGACGGUACCCUAUAAGAAAGCUCCGGCUAACUUAGUGCCAGCAGCCGCGGUAAUACUAGGGGAGCAAGCGUUGUCCGGAUUUAUUGGGCGUAAAGAGCUCGUAGGCGGAUUUAUAAGUCGAAAUUGAAAUACAAUGGCUUAACCAUUGGCACGGUUUCGAUACUGUAAAUCUUGAAUUAUGCAGAGGUAAGCGGAAUUCCUGGUGUAGCGGUGAAAUGCGUAGAUAUCAGGAGGAACACCAAAGGCGAAGGCAACUUACUGGGCAUUGAUUGACGCUGAGGAACGAAAGCGUGGGUAGCAAACAGGAUUAGAGACCCUGGUAGUCCACGCCGUAAACGAUGAGCACUUGGUGGUGGAAGAUUCGACCCUUUCACUGUCGGAGUUAACGCGUUAAGUGCUCCGCCUGGGGACUACGGCCGCAAGGCUGAAACUCAAAGGAAUUGACGGGGACCCGCACAAGCGGUGGAUUAUGUGGUUUAAUUCGAUGCAACGCGAAGAACCUUACCUGGAUUUGACAUGUUAGUGAUCGAUUUGUGAAAGCAAAUUUUUUCU